UACGUAGGUGGCAAGCGUUGUCCGGAUUUACUGGGUGUAAAGGGAGCGCAGGCGGCGCGUUAAGCCUGGUGUGAAAGCCCGCGGCCCAACCGCGGGACUGCAUUGGGAACUGGCGCGCUGGAGUGCCGGAGGGGUAGGCGGAAUUCCUAGUGUAGCGGUGAAAUGCGUAGAUAUUAGGAGGAACACCAGUGGCGAAGGCGGCCUACUGGACGGUGACUGACGCUGAGGCUCGAAAGCGUGGGGAGCAAACAGG
rnacentral:rRNA from 1 species